GCUCCUGUAGCUCAUCGGUAGAGCAUCUGUCUUAUAAACAGAAGGCGCUUGGUCCGACUCCAAGCGGGAGCA
rnacentral:tRNA from 1 species